UUCAUCUAAAAUGUUUAACAAAUGAAUAUAAAUACAAAACUCUAUGCAAAGCUACUACUUGUUCUUCAGUGAGGUUGCAUAGGGAGGACUACCCAAGGGAAGAGUGGGGCUGCCUACAGGUGCAGAAAUCCCCCCCAAGGAAGAUCAUCCCGUUCUGCGAAGGUCCAUUCCCAGAAGCUGACCUUGAAUGACGUUUCUACAUGUACUGUAUAUGCCUAAUAUCACUACAUUGUCUUGUAAGUUGCCAAUUGUUGUGUGAAUAUAGUUUGUAUGCACUCAGAUGUGCCCUCUCUCUGCUGUCCUUUUCUAUUACUGUAGUAUAGAAAGAGUUUGCCACAUCUAAUUGAAUACUUUGCUUGUAAGUUCUAUCUCGAAUACAUAUAGUAAAAGGAGAGUUCCUCAAGUUGGGAUAUUAAAUCAACCACAGGCAAUAAUUAAUGUAAAAAAAAUUGUACAAAUUUAUUCAAAGUAUAAAUAACAUACAACAUGAAAA